rnacentral:rRNA from 1 species
ACCUGCGGAAGGAUCAUUACAGAAAUAGGAGAAGGUUGCUUAACUGCAAUCCUUUUCUUUCUACACAUGUGUUUUUCUUUUUUUUGAAAACUUUGCUUUGGUGGGCCCACGGCCUGCCAGAGAUUAAACUCAACCAAAUUUUUAUUUAAUUGUCAACUUGAUUAACUAAUAGUCAAAACUUUCAACAACGGAUCUCUUGGUUCUCGCAUCGAUGAAGAACGCAGCGAAAUGCGAUAAGUAAUAUGAAUUGCAGAUAUUCGUGAAUCAUCGAAUCUUUGAACGCACAUUGCGCCCUUUGGUAUUCCAAAGGGCAUGCCUGUUUGAGCGUCAUUUCUCCCUCAAACCUUCGGGUUUGGUGUUGAGCGAUACGCUGGGUUUGCUUGAAAGAAAGGCGGAGUAUAAACUAAUGGAUAGGUUUUUUUUUUCCACUCAUUGGUACAAACUCCAAACAUUCUUCCAAAUUCGACCUCAAAUCAGGUAGGACUACCCGCUGAACUUAAGCAUAUCAAUAAGCGGAGGAAA